AGUGAACGCUGGCGGUAGGCCUAACACAUGCCAGUCGAACGGCAGCACAGUAAGAGCUUGCUCUUACGGGUGGCGAGUGGCGGACGGGUGAGGAAUACAUCGGAAUCUACUUUUUCGUGGGGGAUAACGUAGGGAAACUUACGCUAAUACCGCAUACGACCUACGGGUGAAAGCAGGGGAUCUUCGGACCUUGCGCGAUUGAAUGAGCCGAUGUCGGAUUAGCUAGUUGGCGGGGUAAAGGCCCACCAAGGCGACGAUCCGUAGCUGGUCUGAGAGGAGGAUCAGCCACACUGGAACUGAGACACGGUCCAGACUCCUACGGUAGGCAGCAGUGGGGAAUAUUGGACAAUGGGCGCAAGCCUGAUCCAGCCAUACCGCGUGGGUGAAGAAGGCCUUCGGGUUGUAAAGCCCUUUUGUUGGGAAAGAAAAGCAGCAGGUUAAUACCCCGCUGUUCUGACGGUACCCAAAGAAUAAGCACCGGCUAACUUCGUG
rnacentral:rRNA from 1 species